rnacentral:rRNA from 1 species
UGGGGAAUUUUGCACAAUGGGGGAAACCCUGAUGCAGCGACGCCGCGUGAUUUAGAAGGCCUUCGGGUUGUAAAAAUCUUUUCUAUGGGAAGAAAAUGACAGUACCAUACGAAUAAGGACCGGCUAAUUACGUGCCAGCAGCCGCGGUAAUACGUAAGGUCCAGGCGUUAUCCGGAUUUAUUGGGUUUAAAGGGAGCGUAGGCUGUUUGUUAAGCGUGUUGUGAAAUGUAAGAGCUCAACUUUUAGAUUGCAGCGCGAACUGGCAGACUUGAGUGCGCACAACGUAGGCGGAAUUCAUGGUGUAGCGGUGAAAUGCUUAGAUAUCAUGACGAACUCCGAUUGCGAAGGCAGCUUACGGGAGCGCAACUGACGCUAAAGCUCGAAGGUGCGGGUAUCGAACAGG